rnacentral:lncRNA from 13 species
AUUGUAGCCUAGUAAGCACGACUUUUAACAGUGCAGCAUUUGGCCACAAGAGCGCGCCUGAGCCACAUUAGUGGCGGUGAACACGCCAAAAUCUCCUUUCUCUUGUCCUAAAAAUUGUGCACAAAAAAAGCAUUCCAUUCCAAACACUGUCAAAGCCACACCGGAGGCUGUCAGCAUCUCUCUCUGUCUCGCACGAUGAUCCCUGAAAAGCCAGAUGUCGUACACACCGUUGCUUUUUAUUUACUUUUUCUGUCGUUCGUUCCUGCCAACAUUGCCACCAGCAGCUCAAGACAGGUAAGGAUACUUUUUUUGGUUAAUUGCGUCAUGGUGCCACAAUUAUGCUAAUUUCACUCAGAUUUAAUUUGGGUGCCUGUUACUAAUUUGGGCUGAUUGGUAUGCUUCUCAUAUUUCUACCCGGUUCCCUCAUCAACCCCUAUUAAAGGUUUUGAUUUCUUAAGCAACCUCAAUCAAACCCAAAGAUGUUCUCUUCUCUAUCACCCGCUUGAUCAAUGGCCUCCUGGUCAAAUCACCGCUAUCACUACAAAUCCAUACCCUUUUUAUCUCUUAUUUUUGUCGCCCUCAAAUAGUGGAUCUUUAACUGUUGCUCUUGCUGUUCUUUUCCUUUUUUUGUUUUCAAUCAGUCCUGUGUACUCGCCUCUCAAUAAAUAAUGAGGGUGUUCAGUCACUAUAAUUGUUAUCAGUGUGAGGGGAACUCUGACAGAAGCGCUUGUGGCUGAGCUGCUUAGCUUCACACUGUCUCCCCCGAAAUUCUCUUUGUUUACCUUUGUCAGCAGUUUCUGCCUCCCCCGUUUUCCGCCUCCCCAUUUUGUCCUCCCCCAUCUACGUUCACAGUUUUAUAUAAUAUUCUUUUAUUUGACUUUUAUCAGUUUAAAACGGUGCCAGGCAGAGGAAAAAAAUCACAAGGUGUAAAAAACUAGAGUGGAAUCUAAAGGAGGGUUGUCUCUUGUUUGCAUUUGUCAAUGCGGCUCGAGCUGCAGUCACAGCCAGCAGACUUUCACCACUGGUUUAAGCUUCAAAGGAUCUUUAUUUGACUCCAAACUUUGUUUGCUUUGAGAAUCCAUUUCACUAACCACAAAAAGUAUUUUUAUGCGAGUAAAGUCCUACCUUAUUAAACACAAUCACGACAGCUGGGAUGGAAACAGGAAGUUUCGGGACAAUUUGAUAAAUGCCAACAGAUAAUUUGUUUGUUCGACAUGGUGGGAUCGUUUUAUGUCUGUAAAGUUAAUUAUGGGAGAAAUGAAGGUGGAAACACCUUUAUGCGCAAAAAUGUAUAUACUGAACAAAUAAUAUAAGUGCUACAUGCAACAAUUCCAGGAAUUGAUGAGGUGUUUGCUAUGGGGAUGACCAGUGAAAUAUACCUGCUGGAUCGCGUGCUAUGGGUGGGUGUUGUUAAGGUGACCAGUGAGCUGAGAUAAGGCGGAGCUUUAGCUAGCAAAGACUUAUAGAUGACCUGGAGCCGGUGGGUCUGGCGAUGAAUAUGUAGCGAGGGCCAGCCGACGAGAGCAUACAGGUCGCAGUGGUGGGUGGUAUAUGGGGCUUUGGUGACAAAACGGAUGGCACUGUGAUAGACUGCAUCCAGCUUGCUGAGUAGAGUGUUGGAGGCUAUUUUGUAAAUGACAUCGCCGAAGUCGAGGAUCGGUAGGAUAGUCAGUUUUACGAGAGUAAGUUUGGCAGCAUGAGUGAAGGAGGCUUUUUUUGCUAAAUUAAUUUUAAUUUAGGGUUGGAGAUGUUUAAUAUGAGUCUGUA